rnacentral:rRNA from 1 species
UACGAAGGGGGCUAGCGUUGUUCGGAAUCACUGGGCGUAAAGCGCACGUAGGCGGGUCGUUAAGUCGGGGGUGAAAUGCCAAGGCUCAACCUUGGAACUGCCUUCGAUACUGGCGACCUCGAGUCCGGGAGAGGUGAGUGGAACUCCGAGUGUAGAGGUGAAAUUCGUAGAUAUUCGGAAGAACACCAGUGGCGAAGGCGACUCACUGGACACGUAUUGACGCUGAGGUGCGAAAGCGUGGGGAGCAAACAGG